GGCUUAAUUUGACUCAACGCGGGAAAUCUUACCGGGUCCGGACACACUGAGGAUUGACAGAUAUACGUCGUGCGUUGAGCUCUCUCGGGGGCCGAGCGCAUGACUGAAAGAUGCUAGUUCUUUCAUGAUUAUGUGAUAGGUGGUGCAUGGCCGUUCUUAGUUCGUGGAGUGAUCUGUCUGCUUAAUUGCGUAUCAUAAAAAGAGACCUAGUAUACGCGUAAGAUAUCGUUUACGGUUCGUGACCCCCUUCGGGCGUGUGUCGCACGUACGUAUCAUACGCACUGGUCUCCGAUAGCAACGAACGUGACCGUACUCUAUUGUUGCAGCGAAUGUAUGCAUCUUCGGGUGUAUCUACCGCUGCUUAGCAUAUUUCAUGCCUCGUGCGUGUGUAUGCAUUAAACUAUAGAGACCGCUGUAUUUUUUUUAAACCAGAGGAAGGAUACGGCAAUAACAGGUCUGUGAUG
rnacentral:rRNA from 1 species